UACGUAGGGGGCAAGCGUUGUCCGGAAUCAUUGGGCGUAAAGCGCGUGUAGGCGGCUUGGUAAGUCCGUUCUGAAAGCCCGGGGCUCAACCCCGGGAGGCGGAUGGAUACUGUCAAGCUUGAGUCCGGAAGAGGCGAGUGGAAUUCCCGGUGUAGCGGUGAAAUGCGCAGAUAUCGGGAGGAACACCAAUGGCGAAGGCAGCUCGCUGGGACGUGACUGACGCUCAGGCACGAAAGCGUGGGGAGCAAACAGG
rnacentral:rRNA from 1 species